rnacentral:rRNA from 1 species
UACGUAGGGGGCAAGCGUUAUCCGGAUUUACUGAGUGUAAAGGGGGCGCAGACGGCGAUGCAAGCCAGGAGUGAAAGCCCGGGGCCCAACCCCGGGACUGCUCUUGGAACUGCGUGGCUGGAGUGCAGGAGGGGCAGGCGGAAUUCCUGGUGUAGCGGUGAAAUGCGUAGAUAUCAGGAGGAACACCGGUGGCGAAGGCGGCCUGCUGGACUGCAACUGACGUUGAGGCCCGAAAGCGUGGGGAGCAAACAGG